rnacentral:rRNA from 1 species
ACGAACGCUGGCGGCGCGCCUAACACCUGCAAGUCGAACGAGCGAGAGAGAGCUUGCUUUCUUGAGCGAGUGGCGAACGGGUGAGUAACGCGUGAGGAACCUGCCUCAAAGAGGGGGACAACAGUUGGAAACGACUGCUAAUACCGCAUAAGCCCACGGUGCCGCAUGGCACAGAGGGAAAAGGAGCAAUCCGCUUUGAGAUGGCCUCGCGUCCGAUUAGCUAGUUGGUGAGGUAACGGCCCACCAAGGCGACGAUCGGUAGCCGGACUGAGAGGUUGAACGGCCACAUUGGGACUGAGACACGGCCCAGACUCCUACGGGAGGCAGCAGUGGGGAAUAUUGCACAAUGGGGGAAAACCUGAUGCAGCGACGCCGCGUGGAGGAAGAAGGUCUUCGGAUUGUAAACUCCUGUUGUUGGGGAAGAAAUGACGGUACCCAACAAGGAAGUGACGGCUAACUACGUG